GGGGAGCUCUUUCUCAGCGUGCGCAACAUCGACGGUCGGAGAGGUGAGAAGAAGUACCGCCGAUGCGUUUGCUGUAUGUGCUGUAGAUUAGUGCUUUCUAUAUGUUUUGGGUGUUGUUGUCUGGAUCGUAGCUGUCAAUCCAAGUCGCAGCGGCAGCUAGCGAUUCUGCUGUUUCUUGCCCCUAAUCUUCUGGUGUACCUGUAGAUUCGUUUUUCCAGCAGUGGGACUCCAAGUCAUGUGUGCUGGGGACUGGGGGGUAAAUUCCCUCUUGAGGAACUUAAGCAGAUGAAAUGGUGAACUGAGGGAUAAGCUAUGGGCAGCUGCAAAUUUUUUGUAUUUGAUUUGACUGUCUAAUGGUAGAAAACAAUACAUUGAAGGAUUCGAAACUCCUAUUUUCUUUCUCAGAAAUGACCUAGAGCCUUCUGGUACUAACUAGCAGUGGAGUACUAAGCUUUGCAUUAUGUACCAAUUCCUUUAUUGAGCUUUCAGAUUGAUUGAAAAUUGAUGCUGUUGACUUUGCAUCAAGUAUAGUAUGAGUAUCUGCCCUGGGUGUUUUUACUGUUGGCCACUGGCUGCUCUGAAGGUUUUCCAUGCUAAUCAGAUCUUGCGACCUGUUUGUACUUGUGAUUUCCUCUUUGUUCAUAAUUAUUAUAAAUCACAGGUGAAGUUGAAUGCUAUGGUGAAUAUCUGCAGUUCUGCCAGGCCAGCAUUUUGCUCCACUUGAAACAAU
rnacentral:lncRNA from 1 species